rnacentral:lncRNA from 1 species
ACGGAGCAGCCACCACACUUUCUUGGGUUUUUACUUUUGAAAACAUUUUCAUGAAUGAAAGAGGGUGCUGAUACAGAGAGAAGUCGCCACUCUCUUUUUCUUUUGUUGGUUACUUAUUGCCUAUCCAUUUGGUUUUGUGCAAAUUUUUUUUUAUUUGAAGUUUGAUUCCAGCACGGGCAAUAACUAGCUUUUAUUAUAAUCACUCAUUUUGUUUUUAGAAAUUUAGAUGCGCUGAU